UGGGGAAUAUUGCACAAUGGGCGAAAGCCUGAUGCAGCAACGCCGCGUGAGUGAUGAAGGCCUUCGGGUUGUAAAGCUCUGUCUUUUGGGACGAUAAUGACGGUACCAAAGGAGGAAGCCACGGCUAACUACGUGCCAGCAGCCGCGGUAAUACGUAGGUGGCAAGCGUUGUCCGGAUUUACUGGGCGUAAAGGAUGCGUAGGCGGAUUUUUAAGUGAGAUGUGAAAACCCUAAGCUUAACUUGGGGACUGCAUUUCAUACUGGAAAUCUAGAGUGCGGGAGAGGAGAAUGGAAUUCCUAGUGUAGCGGUGAAAUGCGUAGAGAUUAGGAAGAACACCAGUGGCGAAGGCGAUUCUCUGGACCGUAACUGACGCUGAGGCAUGAAAGCGUGGGUAGCAAACAGGAUUAGAUACCCUGGUAGUCCACGCCGUAAACGAUGAGUACUAGGUGUAGGAGGUAUCGACCCCUUCUGUGCCGGAGUUAACGCAAUAAGUACCCCGCCUGGGGAGUACGGUCGCAAGACUGAAACUUAAAGGAAUUGACGGGGUCAUAGCUGUUUCCU
rnacentral:rRNA from 1 species